AUAACUAUUGGAAACGAUGGCUAAUACCGCAUAAUACCUACGGGUCAAAGAGGGGGACCUUCGGGCCUCUCGCGUCAGGAUAUGCCUAGGUGGGAUUAGCUAGUUGGUGAGGUAAUGGCUCACCAAGGCGACGAUCCCUAGCUGGUCUGAGAGGAUGAUCAGCCACACUGGAACUGAGACACGGUCCAGACUCCUACGGGAGGCAGCAGUGGGGAAUAUUGCACAAUGGGCGCAAGCCUGAUGCAGCCAUGCCGCGUGUAUGAAGAAGGCCUUCGGGUUGUAAAGUACUUUCAGCAGUGAGGAAGGUGGUAGUGUUAAUAGCACUAUUAUUUGACGUUAGCUGCAGAAGAAGCACCGGCUAACUCCGUGCCAGCAGCCGCGGUAAUACGGAGGGUGCGAGCGUUAAUCGGAAUUACUGGGCGUAAAGCGCAUGCAGGUGGUUUGUUAAGUCAGAUGUGAAAGCCCGGGGCUCAACCUCGGAAUAGCAUUUGAAACUGGCAGACUAGAGUACUGUAGAGGGGGGUAGAAUUUCAGGUGUAGCGGUGAAAUGCGUAGAGAUCUGAAGGAAUACCGGUGGCGAAGGCGGCCCCCUGGACAGAUACUGACACUCAGAUG
rnacentral:rRNA from 1 species